CUCAAAAUCCACCUCUGGACUCUGUUAGUGACCACUGUUAUCAUCGCCACUCUUGACUUUGAAGGUCUCUGAGGAGGAAGACAGAGUCACACGCUCAGCGAGUUUAGAGUAUCUGUCACUCCUCUCCAUCUUUCAACCCAAUCAAGCCUUGGCAGCACUGCUGCAACUUUUGAUGGGAAGUCUUUGAUCUGCUCCAUCUUUUCCUCCAGCAGGAAAAUGAGAUAACAAAGAAUUCAAGAUAUGCUCAUUUUUUGAGUAUGAUCACUGAAACCAUGCUGAAGGUCGUAUUUGUGCUUAGAUGCCUCCUGAGCCUUGCUUUGGCUCUUCCUAUCUCUGAGGAGGAAGACAGAGUCAUACACUCAGCAAGUUUUGAGUUUCCGUCACUCUCCUCCAACAAUCAACCCAACCAAAUCUUGGCAACAUUGCUGCGGCUUUUGUUGGCAAGUCUUUAAGCUGCUCCUCCUCCUCUUCCAGCAGAAAAUGAGACAACAAUCCGAAAAAAAACCAUCACAUUAAAGAAUUCAAGAUAUCCUCAAUUUAUGAGUAACUGAAAUUGAAUAAAUAAAUCAUCAAAAAAAAAAAAAA